rnacentral:rRNA from 1 species
UACGGAGGGUGCAAGCGUUAUCCGGAUUCACUGGGUUUAAAGGGUGCGUAGGAGGGCAGGUAAGUCAGUGGUGAAAUCCCCGAGCUUAACUUGGGAACUGCCGUUGAUACUAUCUGUCUUGAAUAUUGUGGAGGUGAGCGGAAUAUGUCAUGUAGCGGUGAAAUGCUUAGAUAUGACAUAGAACACCAAUUGCGAAGGCAGCUUACUACGGAUCGAUUGACACUGAGGCACGAAAGCGUGGGGAUCAAACAGG